rnacentral:misc_RNA from 1 species
UUUCCGUAGGUGAACCUGCGGAAGGAUCAUUCAUAAUAAAGUGUUUUAUGGCACUUUUUAAAGAUCCAUAUCCACCUUGUGUGCAAUGUUAGAUCUCGUCAAUCUUGGCGAGAUUUUUAUACAUCAACUCAUUCUUUAACUAAUUUGUCUGAAAAAUAUUAUGAAUACUUAAUUCAGAAUACAACUUUCAACAACGGAUCUCUUGGCUCUC